rnacentral:tRNA from 1 species
GCUUAGCUUAGUGGUUAGAGCUUAGGCCUUGUAACCGAAAGGUCCCGGGAUUGAUUCUCGCCAGAAGCA